AGCCGGGCUGUUGCUGGGUCAGGCCAAAGGGGACCCACCCUGUCUUCACAGCGGCCAAGCAGAUGACCCAGGUGGAAGCUCACAAGCGGGGCAGCCCUUCCUCCCACAGGAGCCAGGGCAGAAGCGAUAAAACAAUUAAACCAUCGGAAAACAUGAUCAUUUGGAGAUAUAAAGAGUGAGACAAUCUUUUAGAUUCCAAAGAACAGCCAUGGAUUCUGCAGCAGUGAAGACAUCUCUGUCAGAGUCUGGGAAUUCCAUUAAUAUUGUGAGAGAGUCCAUUUGAAGCUUGUUUGCUGAAUUACCUUUGGAAUCUCACCUUCCCUGAAACAAAUUAAAGGUGAUCCUGCAUUGCAUGGCAUCGGAAACCUGUGAUAUCAUCACACAUGCCAGUGAACAAUUUGUAUUCACCAGUCAUCUUUCAAGUUCAUCACUGAUACAGGGGACUUUGAUUCCAACACACAGCCAAAGAUUUCCACAGCAGGCAUUUAAUGCUGGAGAAAGAUUGGUUGAAGAUAGAGCUCUUCAUCCUACACCAGAUGACAGAAUUGUACAAAUGUAGGGAUGUUUCCAUGCUCCUAUACCUUCUUUUGGGGAACAAUCUGAAGCCAGCAUUGGAGCAAACGUUACUCAGAAUCCUCACGACUAUACCUAUGACAACAGCAGAAGCAGAAGAGGAUGAAGCUCUGAAGAGGAUGAAGACAUUCCCAAGGAACGCUGUUUCAGAUGACAGCCUUGGUAAUGCUGUCAGUUGAGAAAUGAUUGAGCAAACCUUGUAUACAAUAUGACAUUAUGAGAAAUCUUCUGAAGAACUGGAGGAUAGGGGUGGCUGUAAGGGGUGAUGGAGGCCACAAACCAAUAAAUAAAUAGCCAAGUGCGACAGCAUGGAAACCUUCUGAACCAAUGCUCCAAAUAAUGGAAAACUUGGAGGAAAGGGGUGGCUGUAAGGGGAGGUGGAGGCCACACACAGUUUCUCCCAGCAGAGAAGCAGCUGUGACAGCAGGGACCCCUUCUGAACCAAGGCAAGACUCUUUAAGUAACCUUGAAAAGAAAUGCUAAACAAUUGUACUAUUGCACUACUUAAGUGUGUACUGUUUCUUGAGAAGGGAGAAGGAGGAUAGAGAGAGAACCAGAAGCGGUAGAAGCCGCACACACUUUCUCCUCAAAUAUCUCCUCAAAAAAUGUUAAUAAAAAUAACCAGGAUUAAAUUAACAUUAAAAGGAAAUAAAUGUAUUGAUAAAUA